GAUGAACGCUGGCGGCGUGCCUAAUACAUGCAAGUCGAGCGAACAGAUGAGGAGCUUGCUCCUCUGACGUUAGCGGCGGACGGGUGAGUAACACGUGGAUAACCUACCUAUAAGACUGGGAUAACUUCGGGAAACCGGAGCUAAUACCGGAUAAUAUAUUGAACCGCAUGGUUCAAUAGUGAAAGACGGUUUUGCUGUCACUUAUAGAUGGAUCCGCGCCGCAUUAGCUAGUUGGUAAGGUAACGGCUUACCAAGGCGACGAUGCGUAGCCGACCUGAGAGGGUGAUCGGCCACACUGGAACUGAGACACGGUCCAGACUCCUACGGGAGGCAGCAGUAGGGAAUCUUCCGCAAUGGGCGAAAGCUUGACGGAGCAACGCCGCGUGAGUGAUGAAGGUCUUCGGAUCGUAAAACUCUGUUAUUAGGGAAGAACAAAUGUGUAAGUAACGAUGCACGUCUUGACGGUACCUAAUCAGAAAGCCACGGCUAACUACGU
rnacentral:rRNA from 1 species